rnacentral:rRNA from 1 species
UACAGAGGUCUCAAGCGUUGUUCGGAUUCACUGGGCGUAAAGCGCACGUAGGCCGAUUGUUAAGUCAGGGGUGAAAUCCUGGAGCUCAACUCCAGAACUGCCCUUGAUACUGACGGUCUCGAGUCCGGGAGAGGUGAGUGGAACUGCGAGUGUAGAGGUGAAAUUCGUAGAUAUUCGCAAGAACACCAGUGGCGAAGGCGGCUCACUGGCCCGGUACUGACGCUGAGGUGCGAAAGCGUGGGGAGCAAACAGG